UCGUUUUCUGAAUAACCCAUUAUAGGAAAUAAUGCCUGCCCAGUGAAAUUUAAACGGCCGCGUUAGCGUGAGCGUGCUAAGGUAGCGUAAUAAUUAGCCUUUUAAUUGGAGGCCAGUGAAUGGCAAGACUAGGAACACCUUUACUCUGCGUACAAAAAAAACUUUUCGUCUAAGUGAAAAGACUUAGAUAAUAAAGGUAGACGAAAAGACCCCGCGGAGCUUUAUCUUUUCAUAUACGAUCGUGUACUUGCCAAAAGUAUUUUAGAUUUGAUUGGGGCAAUCUUGGAAUCAGCAAAACUUCCGAUUCUUUAAAAAAACUUAUUCAAAAUUUAAUAAGAACUUAAGAGUACAUAUCGAAAGUUGGGUUUGCGACCUCGAUGUUGGCUUAAGGAUAUCCACAUAAGUGCAACCGCUAUGACAGGAUAGUCUGUUCGACUAUUAUACCCUU
rnacentral:rRNA from 1 species